rnacentral:tRNA from 2 species
CUCUCGGUCGUCUAGUUGGUUUAUGACGUCAGACUGUAAUUGUAACAUUGUCUAUCUGGAUGUCGCGUGUUCGACUCACGCCUGAGAGA